GACCCGGUGGUGAAAAGCUAUCACGCUGGCCACGAAUUUCCCCCUUCCUUGGAAGUCUGCCGCCAGAAUCCCUCGUUCGAAUCGAGGUCGGGUCU